rnacentral:RNase_P_RNA from 1 species
GUAAUAAAUCGGAUCAUCGCUUUAGGUUAUAGUCUUAGGACAAUGGUCUAGAGAGGAAAGUCCGGACUCCAAAUGGUAGCGCAAGGGGUAACGCCCCUCCAUCCCUAGGAUGAGGACCAGUGGAACAGAGAGAAUGUCCAGAGCAUUGAUCUAUUGAUCGGGAACGGGAGAUCGAUAGGGAGUUGCUGGAGUGAAAGCAGCUAAACUCUGCGUGGAGCAAGAUCAAAUAGGAGAGCGUUUUAAGUCUAACCAGGACGAGGCUUUCGGGUUGAUCGCUAGAGGUGACUAGAGAUGGUCAUCCCAGAUGAAUGAUGAUCAGUCAUAAAUUGAUGCGACAAUUUAUGUCUACAGAAUCCGGCUUAUAGAUUUAUUGCAUUC